rnacentral:tmRNA from 1 species
GGGGCUGAUUCUGGAUUCGACGGGAUUCGCGAAACCCAAGGUGCAUGCCGAGGGGCGGUUGGCCUCGUAAAAAGCCGCAAAAAAAUAGUCGCAAACGACGAAAACUACGCUUUAGCAGCUUAAUAACCUGCUCUGAGCCCUCUCUCCCUAGCUUCCGCUCUUAAGACGGGGAUCAAAGAGAGGUCAAACCCAAAAGAGAUCGCGUGGAUGCCCUGCCUGGGGUUGAAGCGUUAAAUCUAAUCAGGCUAGUCUGGUAGUGGCGUGUCUGUCC